UCCUCCAUAGAUUCUUCCUCUCCUUUGGAGCAUCCAAGAGUUCCAGAGUAGAAGAAGUUGAUCAGCCUUUGAAGAUCCUUGCGAGCUAGCACUCCUGAGAAGCCUGAUCAGCAUCCGUUCUUCAUGUGGACGAUCUGUAGAGGCUAGACUUCUUCAUGCAGCUAUGAGCAAUCUGAAGGAACUCUCUCCUAUGCAAGAUUCUUGUGGAGAUCAGUAACCCACAAUCUGAUAAUGAGUUUUGAACUUGUUAGACUAGUUUUGAUA
rnacentral:lncRNA from 1 species